CCGGGGCCCAGCUAGCUGAGAUGCGUGCUCCGCUUCUCCCAGCUCGGCUGGUGUCUGCAUGGCCUGAGACUCGCCGCGUUCCUAAAUGGCCAAGCACUGGGACCAGACCGUCAAGUACUACGCCCUGGAAGAGAUUCAGAAGCACAACCACAGCAAGAGCACCAGGUUGAUUCUGCACCACAAGGUGUACGAUUUGACCAAGUUCUUGGAGGAGCAUCCUGGUGGGGAAGAAGUGUUAAAGGAACAAGCUGGAGGGGAUGCUACUGAAAGUUUUGAGGAUGUGGACACUCUACAGAUGCUCGAGAAUUGUCCAAAAUGUACAUCAUUGGGGAACUUCAUCCGCAUGACAGAGCAAAGUUAACCAAGCCUUUGGAAACGCUCAUUACUACUGUUGAUUCUAAUUCCAGCUGGUGGACCAACUGGGUGAUCCCAGCCAUCUCAGCAGUGCUGGUGGCUCUGAUGUACCACCUCUAUACAGCAGAAGAUUAAACACAUGCUAGGAAGUGGAGGGAAGAAAAGACUGCUUUGGACCAGGAAGAAAGAAGCCAGUGUUAACUGCUUCAACUGAC